GUAAAUAAAUUAAAGUACCUUUGAGAAAAACUAAAUUAAUGUGUUAUUCUGAAGAACGUAACAGUUUACUGAUGUACCUACCUAACAAUUUUGAUCAGCAUUACAGAUGUUUAUCUAUUUUAAUUUAUAAUAUUACUAUUCCAUAAUAGGCAAUAGAUAAGUAAAUUACUCAAAUUAGACUUAUAAAAUGGGGAUUAUACAUUCUACAAUGUGUGCUUUUUCGUUCGUCAUAGAAAGGAUCCUGAGUUGGCUCCUGUGCGCGUGCCUGUCGGCCUGUCUGCUGGUGGCCAUGGUGACCAUGUGCAUGUACGGCGUGUCGGCGGGGUACCACUACGCGCAGCGCGAGAUAGCGCAGUGGCAGGCGACAUUCAAAUACUACCACAAGCAAGAGUACAAAAACUUUGAACCUGAGUUUACGAGAAGAAAAGCCGUACCUCUCAACGACUCCUCAACUAUGAACUCGACCCUACUGAAGUAUAACAACAUCUCCAGAAAGAAUGAAAUCUUGGAUACUUUAAAUCUAAAUGCAUCAGUAGCUCAUGAUCUACAUAAGGAAGGAAUUUCAAAUGUAAACGCUGAAAAUCAAACAGGUUCUGAAUUUUUGACCAGGGAAAAAGAAACGACUGCACUUGCAGUUAGUGAUGAUAAGGAAAAUGCGGUGAAAGGAGACGAGGCGCGGACACAACUAAAGCAAUAUAAAGAAAAGUGGAAUAUUUUUAAUCCUAAUGAAAUGUUCUUAUACAAUACUUCAGAAACUGGUUUAAACAAAAUGGUUAAUUACUUCACCGCAUUUCUUCCAUUCUGAUGAACAUGAGUAAAAUCGACAGCUACAUAGAUUAUCGGUCUGUGCUACACGAUCUGAUAGGAAAUCAUUAUUAACGAUCAAAUUGAUCACUCUACAAAUUCAAUAAUGAUUUGGAAUAUUUUUAAAAUGGCAAAAUGGGUUGGAGAAAUCCUGAAGACUGCUACAUCAAGCCAUUCUCGCCUGAAAGGCCUCUCGAACAUUUUCAAUUUGCAUUUUUUAAAUUCUUGUUCUGAGUAAUGAAACAGUUCAUAGACGAAGACGAAAAUGGUUACUAUUAUUUGGUAUAUCGUAGUUUAUUUUCUCUAUGUUAUUUGUCAUUUUACUUGCUUUUAUGUUGAAAGUUAUAAACUUGUAAUAAAAUCGUAUUUUUAGAGAUAUUUAUUUAUACACAGUGAGUCGUCAUGGGUGUGAUACAUUCCCUCAUAUGUUCUCUGACGUUCUGUGCUGAAAGAGUGCUAACGUGGGCGGUGUGUGCCUGUGUGCUGCUGGUGCUGAUGCUCACGAUGGUGAUCCUGCUGGUGUACGGCAUCUCCGUGGGGUACCACUACGCGCAGAAGGAAAUCAAUCUCUGGUCAUACACGGCGUAUAAGAGAAAAUGGAUGCCGUACAGCCGCCGCAGUGGUCUUCGGAGUAAUGGUGAUGAGGGUGAGCCGGCGUUCAGCCCGGGUCUGGAUGGCCAGCUGCCGGGGACUGACGGCGACCUGGAGGCGCCACUGGGCUACCUGACCAACUUGACUAACACCUCGCCUGGCUCUGGCUCUACAGACGAAUUCAAAGUGAAAACAGCAGUAACACCGACACAAGACUUUACUUUGAGAUCAACAAAAAAUAAACCACUGUGGCAUAAGUACAUGGAGACCAAACCACCACGAACCACCACCACCGUCUCACCACCAUCCACAGAAAGGCCACCUUUUAAUCUCUAUAAAUUAAUGAAUCGUUUCAAACGCACUGAAGAAGAAGAACUAACUUCAACUAAGCCAUCCUGAUUGAAGAAUGUGUACCUGUGACGUUAUAGUAACCGAAUACUUUUAGAUGUUUAUGUACUUUUUGUUAAGAAUAUUUUAUUAAACAUAAAAUAAACAUAAUUAUGUAAUUAA